rnacentral:rRNA from 1 species
UACAGAGGUCCCAAGCGUUGUCCGGAAUUAUUGGGCGUAAAGAGCUCGUAGGUGGCUUGUUGCGUCUGCCGUGAAAGCCCGUGGCUUAACUACGGGUCUGCGGUGGAUACGGGCAGGCUAGAGGCUGGUAGGGGCAAGCGGAAUUCCUGGUGUAGCGGUGAAAUGCGCAGAUAUCAGGAGGAACACCGGUGGCGAAGGCGGCUUGCUGGGACGGUACUGACGCUGAGACGCGAAAGCGUGGGGAGCAAACAGG